UACAGAGGUGGCAAGCGUUGUUCGGAAUUACUGGGCGUAAAGGGCGCGUAGGCGGUUCGUUAAGUCCUGUGUGAAAUCCCCCGGCUCAACUGGGGAACUGCACAGGAAACUAGCGGGCUUGAGUUCGGGAGAGGGAAGCGGAAUUCCGGGUGUAGCGGUGAAAUGCGUAGAUAUCCGGAGGAACACCGGUGGCGAAGGCGGCGCACUGGACCACAACUGACGCUGAGGCGCGAAAGCUAGGGGAGCAAACAGG
rnacentral:rRNA from 1 species